UUAAAUCAGUAUCGUCUUUUAAAAUGCCCUAAAAAAGAGCUUGGUGAAUUAGAGCAAUGAGCACCUUUGCCCUGACAAGUGGUUCUAUGCAGGAAGACACAGCUCAGACCCCAUCAUCCCUCCUGGGAGAAGCAGGAGAUCUCUCUCACCAGGGUCAUACCAUCAGGCAAUGUCAUGCAUUACGUAAGGAAAUCCCUUCUCAGGUUUUCCUGGAAUAAGCACAAAUGAGGACCCAAGAUGGCAUUAACAGAACCUCCUCACCUCCCUCCUGAUUCAUCUACAUCACGGUUUCUACACUUACUACAGGUUAUCUACUCAUAUCUGAAGAUCUGGAGCUGGGAGCCUCAAAUGAAAGAGAACAUUGGACGUUUGUCUUCCUGAUGCUGGGUUACCCCAUUCAAUACAGUCUUUUCUAAUUACAUCCAUCUGCUUACAAAUUUCAUGAUUUCAUUUUUCUUCACAGCUGAAAACUAUCUUUUAAUAAGCUAUCUACUUUGGAAAUUCUAUAUACUAAGACUCACAUUUUGGACAUAAAUGAUUUUAUAUUUUUCAGAAUAAACAUUUCCUUCAUCCACACUAAAUAACGAUCAAACAAAUAUUUUUAACUAUGACUUUUAAAGGACACCACACCUUUAGCUUGGCUGGGGUAUUUAUCUAGGCCAACCUACAUGAAGUCACUGCCAGACUAUGUCUUCUGAAUAGAACACAGUUAUUCAAUUUUUUAACCUCCAGAGAAACUCUGUUAUGGGUCUUGAAUGUAGACUGGGGAUAAGUCACAUAGCAAAGGAACAGGCUCUGCCACCAUCGUGUAUUUCCUCAAUACACAACCAUUGCUUAGAAAGAAGUACCCAACAGAAAAAAGGUAUCCUGAACCCAGAGGGACCAUUCCAGAGGAUGAGGAGAAGCAAAGCUGUUAAGGAACUGGAGUACCCUCUAGGCCUUCACUUACCUCAGGGUAGAAACAUAAACACAUUUGAAACUCCACACUGAGGACAGGGCUGCAAGAUGAAAAGAAACCGAGUUCCUGGCUCACAACUCGGUUUUGUUUUUCUGACUUGUAAACCAUCAAUAACAAUAAGUAAUUCACACCAGUAGACAAUAUAUGUACAAAUUUACGUAUCACAAACAUCACACAGCAAUUGUGUGCUAGUUUGAAAAAUGAGUAUAUUUCAUGGGUCCUUCAAGUUUAAAACAGAAACCACCAUAAAGUUUAUUACUUAUUCCCCAACCAUUAGUUGGUGAGACAGAGGUACACAGCAGAUCAAAAAUAUCCAAGGACUAUACAGCCUGGAUCCAGUGGCCAGUCUUCCUGAGUGGCUAAGCUAACAUCUCCAGUCCCUCCAUUUCUACCUGGGAAAUGUCAUGUUGCACAUGCUGGGACCAAAAACGGGAUGUCAUUUGUCAAGGUUUUCUUGAAUAAAUUUGUCAAGAAGACAUGAAGCUCCCUUUUCUCAAAAAAAAAAAAAAAAGAAUGUUUCCAAUCACUCUCACUCAGGAACUGAGCAGUAUGGGAACUUGACUAGGACCACUUUUGACAUUCACGGAAAACCUGACUAGCAACUGGAGCAUUAACAUCAGAGGCUACCUAAUGAUUAAAUGUCAGAACUGUAGUACAUCAGAUUUGCUCAUGGAUAUUUCUAGGGUAUCCAGCAUCCACUUUCAGGCAUACAUAAUCAAUAGGUAAAAGAAAUCCUUUUCUUAAGUAGCACUUGACCUAUAUCUUUUUGGGAGACUGAAACUGGACUUUGACAUAGGUGCAAAGAAAGCAUAUACUAGCACAUCCACACACAGUAACUUCUGGGGUUUAAGGUCUUACAAAAAAAUUUUAAUACAACACACACAUACCUGUAUACAUAUUUAUACAAAUACAGGGAUUUGAAAUAAAUAUUUAAUGCAUCUUUAAAGCUUCAAUCACAGAAUUUACAGUGGGAACAAUGAUAAAACCUUUAAUGAGAGAAACAUUAGCAGAGUCUAUAACAAUAUUGUAAAUCAUUUCUAAAUAAAAAUAUUGAUAAGAUGAGCCUUCUAAAAUACCCAGGACACAUCUUUAGCUAAUUAAAACUAGAUAAUAGAAGUGACUCUUUUAUCAUUCACAAUAUUGCAUCCCUGAUCAUCCCAUGGUAAAUGAUUUUACCUCAGUAAUAACCAUGAUCCAACAUUCAGUUAGCAAUUACCACAUCAGACUUCAUCUACUGGUAGCAACUGGUUAAGAUGAUAUUGCCCUACAUGCAUUUAUUUCAUCAUGCUAAUAAAGUUUCCUGCUACACAUGCAAAAGCAUAUUAACCUGUCUGAUGUAAUAAAAGAUGCACAUACAUCUUUCUUGAAAAAGGAUGAUGCGUCAGGAUUUCAUUUCUAUUUUGAAACUUAAGUGGGUAAGUACAUUAGAGCAGAAAGUAGCAAGCUAUGAUCUAUAGUGAACAAAAUAACAUAACUAAGUACCAACAAAUUUCCCUACGAGGAAUUGUAUCUAUUGUAAUUUAGACACAUUCUGUUAACUUGGUGUUGGCAUAACAACAUGAAACUGCUCUUUUGCAAACAUCAAGAAGAAGCCUGUGCAUCUGUACAUCUUGUCUUUCACACAGAGUUCAGGAAGGCCACUAUUGACUCAAGUUAACUCUCUUGGAGUACAGAGCAUGCAUGAGCUGAUGAAAACCUUUGAUAAUGAUGCUGAUGUGAUGAAUGAUGGCAGUUCAGUGUCCUCUGGGAAUAAUUCCUGGCAUAGAGUCAGCAAUCUAAGGAAAAGGAAAGGAGAAGCUCUAUCAUGUUCAUGAGUGAUAAGCAUUCUGUCUGCAGUCUGCUACCCAGGAUCCGUCUUGGAAACUCUUUUCCUUUCCACGCUCUUCUUCUCAGUGAGUACUUUCUCCACUUCUCGGUGAGGAACUUAAGGCAAGAAGGCUAGGGAAGGUAGGUGAGGGUACAAGCCAAGGCUAUGUGCAAUCAGAGACAACCUGCCCUGCACUGUUUCUUCCCUCCCAACCCCGGGUUCAUACAAGCUUACUUGUCUUAAAGAAUUAUACACAUUAACAUUUUAUAAUUGAUAAAAUAUCAGCAGAACACUAGCCCAUGGGAGUAAGACUGACAUGUGUGACACUUUUCUCUCUGGUCUCCAAGGGGUCAUCCAAUACUUGUCAACGCCUUAUUAAUGGAAUUCUCUGCUCUCCAUGGAAGAUGGCUUCAGCCCUAGUACUACCAAGCAUGAGAAGUUCAGUUAAUUCCACAAAAAGUGACUGAGACUCAGUUAAAGUUGAAGCAAAAUGAACAUGCUGCCAUAGUCAGAGCAGAGCACUCACAAAUACUGUCAAGAUAAGCAGAUACAUCUGUAUGCUAUAGGGCUGGCCCUGGUCUUGGGUGUAGAUCACAGAAGAGCAUUAUCCCAGCUAGAGUCAAUCCCUGUGCAACACAUAAAGUCUCUUAAGAUCUUGGAGGCAGGAAGGUUCAGCUCUCCCUUGGGAGACAUGGCCUGCACACAAGCAAUAUGGUACUAGCUAGAGGCCUAGGGAAUAGUCAGAGGAACAUGGAGGAUUUAAAGACAAAAAUACACCAAAGACAGCAUCACUGAGUUUUCUCAGGAUGCAUGUGCUCUAGCCACACCGUGGGAGGCCAAGGUGACGCCCAUGGAGUUUGGCACAGAUGCUGGUGGGGCCUAGUGUGGAUGGAUAUAGACCAGAGCUGUAAAUCUGGUAACAAGCAGCCCUUCACAGCUUUGUGAGGACUGUGAAAACACAGGCCCUUUUGAGACUGCAGCCUCAGGAAGCAGGAAGCCAUUUGGAAAGCCGAGCCACACACAGAAUCACUCUUAAGUUUCAGGCCUAUGGGCAAGGCAGAACAGUUCUAGCCUCCUUCUUCGGCCCAGUGAAACAGCUGUCUACAGAAGUGUUCUGCUGGGGAGUGCUGGACCUCGGGAGGUAAACAUAUUAAUUUGGUGGUCUGUUUCUUGUUCAGAUCAAAAUGCAAGUUGAGGACAUCUCUUUAAAACUUACCAUAAAUACUUUUCUUAUUUUAUCCUGUUGUAUUAAAUUUUGCAUUUUCCAUCCAUUGCAAGCUCACACUCAGAAAGCAAUAAACAGCCUAAGAAGAGAAGGCAGAGCUAGAGAUGUUGAAGCCCAUUAGACAACAGACCUGCUGUAGGUGGCAAUUUGGGACCAAAAAUUUCAUUUACGCAGUCUCUUCUGCCUUACCCCCAGCCCACCCCACCCACACACACUUGUCUGUGGCUUUGAGCUUCCGGAGACUUUCAGUCUAGAAUCCAGUGCUAAAGUUUAUGGUUUCCUGGGGUUUAUGGUCCUUCCCAUGAAGGUUUUCUGUACCUAUUAAUGUGCAUUAUGGUUCCCCCUCUCACAGCAGUGGCUCCUGUGAAAGCCAGGAAAGUUUUAUGCAGCACACAUGGAGACUGAAUGGGACUUCUUGAGGGAUCUGGGCAUGAUGACUGGACCUCCCUGGUUGUAAAUUCCCCAAUAUUUGAUGACUCCAGUGUCAGCAGCGCAAUGAUGCAUAAUAAACACAACAAUGCAUUAUCCGCAGUUUCUUG